AUCAAAAACAUGUCCUUUUGGGGUUUUAUUUAAGGUCUGACCUGCCCAAUGANUUUUUAAUGGCCCGGUAUAUNAACUGUGCUAAGGUAGCAUAAUCAUUUGUCNNUUUAAUUGAGGGCUUGUAUGAAGGGUUGGACGAGGCAUAUUCUUUCUUUAUCUUAUNUUUUGAAUUNUUCUUUUCAGUCAAAAGACUGGGAUUUUUUUAUGGGACGAGAAGACCCUAUAGAUCUUUAUAAGUUUUUAGUUAUUNGAUUUUUAGGUUAUUAUNAAUUUAAUUCUGAUNAUUNAUUUGGUUGGGGUGACUGCAGGGAAGGUAUAACUUCUGNUUUUAUUGGUUCAUAAAUUAGUGUUUAAAUGAUCCACUUAUAGUGAUUAUAAGAUUAAGUUACCUUAGGGAUAACAGCGUAAUNUUUUCGGAGAGUUCAUAUUGAUGAAGGAGUUUGCGACCUCGAUGUUGGAUUAAAAUAAGUGUUGGGUGUAGCAGUUCAAUAACUGGGUCUGUUCGACCAUCCAAGGAAGGCAGCAGGCACGCAAAUUACCCACUCCCGGCACGGGGAGGUAGUGACAAAAAAUAACGAUACGGGACUCUAUUGAGGCCCCGUAAUCGGAAUGAGUACACUUUAAAUCCUUUAACAAGGAUCCAUUGGAGGGCAAGUCUGGUGCCAGCAGCCGCGGUAAUUCCAGCUCCAAUAGCGUAUAUUAANNNNNNNNNNNNNNNNNNNNNNNNNNCCGCGCUGUCGGUUCGCCGCCUGUCGGUGUAACUGGCAUGUCGCGGCAUGUCCUGUCGGUGGUGAACGGGAUAUCCGGUGNUGUUUAGGCUUAAUUGCCGAAGCAUGUACGUGUGUGUUUCCGUUCGCCGAUCUCUCCUACUCCGGUGCUCUUAAACGAGUGUCGAGGUAGGCCGACACGUUCACUUUGAACAAAUUAGAGUGCUUAAAGCAGGCUGAAAUAUCUGCCUGAAUAGUGGUGCAUGGAAUGAUAAAACAGGACCUCGGUUCUAUUUUGUUGGUUUUAGGAAUAUGAGGUAAUGAUCAAUGUGGACUGGCGGGGGCAUUCCUAUUGCNNNNNNNNNNNNNNNNNNNUUGGACCGUCGCAAGACGCACUAGAGCGAAAGCAUUUGCCAAGUAUGUCUUAAUUGAUCAAGAACGAAAGUUAGAGGUUCGAAGGCGAUCAGAUACCGCCCUAGUUCUAACCAUAAACGAUGCCAGCCAGCGAUCCGCCGAUGUUCCUUUAAUGACUCGGCGGGGAGCUUCUACUCGGGAAACCAAAGCUUUUGGGUUCCGGGGGAAGUAUGGUUGCAAAGCUGAAACUUAAAGGAAUUGACGGAAGGGCACCACCAGGAGUGGAGCCUGCGGCUUAAUUUGACUCAACACGGGAAACCUCACCAGGCCAGGACAUUGGAAGGAUUGACAGAUUGAUAGCUCUUUCUUGAUUCAGUGGGUAGUGGUGCAUGGCCGUUCUUAGUUGGUGGAUCGAUUUGUCUGGUUAAU
rnacentral:rRNA from 1 species